AUUGAACGCUGGCGGCAGGCCUAACACAUGCAAGUCGAGCGGCAGCGGGAAAGUAGCUUGCCACUUUUGCCGGCGAGCGGCGGACGGGUGCGUAAUGCCUGGGAAAUUGCCCAGUCGAGGGGGAUAACAGUUGGAAACGACUGCUAAUACCGCAUACGCCCUACGGGGGAAAGCAGGGGACCUUCGGGCCUUGCGCGAUUGGAUAUGCCCAGGUGGGAUUAGCUAGUUGGUGAGGUAAUGGCUCACCAAGGCGACGAUCCCUAGCUGGUCUGAGAGGAUGAUCAGCCACACUGGAACUGAGACACGGUCCAGACUCCUACGGGAGGCAGCAGUGGGGAAUAUUGCACAAUGGGGGAAACCCUGAUGCAGCCAUGCCGCGUGUGUGAAGAAGGCCUUCGGGUUGUAAAGCACUUUCAGCGAGGAGGAAAGGUUGAUGCCUAAUACGUAUCAACUGUGACGUUACUCGCAGAAGAAGCACCGGCUAACUCCGUGCCAGCCGCCGCAGUAA
rnacentral:rRNA from 1 species